ACAGCCGCGUUCGCGUCCUGCGCGGCCGAGGCGCAGGGGUACAGCUUCAUCGCCUCCGCGUCGGGCGUCGAUCUAGGGCACUCGCCGGCUCCGUAAGCGCUAUUGAUGCCGAGGAUGGCGAGGAAUCCGAGGACGAGCAGGCACCUUUUGGGGACAAGAUCAAGAAGCAAAACAUCGUAUCAUCAACGUGUUCUUCUUCUUCUUUAUUUUUUUCUCGUAGAUGAUGUUGCUUUCACAUUUCUCAGGUUCAAAGUACGUUCGUAAGAUUUUGAGUAAAUACACACAGAUAAUGAUCAAGGCAGGGAACACUGCCUAUCCUUUUGUUGUUUCUGCUGGAAUGGAGCACCGGAGGCUUUAGCAUGGCAGGUGGCGUGGCAAGGGGCAAUGGGAGUUGUCUCGGCGCAUAACUGUCCAUCAACUUGGUUAAGGAUCACAAGACUUGUUACGUACAGAGGGUGAUUCUUUCCCAACCCCCCAUGGACAAUAUGCUGCCCAUUCACUUGCUCUGUUAGAUACAGAACCAGGUCCUCCCAGUAUGUGUCCAUAGUUCUUCGACUUUGCUUCAGUUGCUAGAUAAUUUGUGUUAACAGAGGAGCAGGCGAAAAGUUUGGAGUUGUGUAUGCUGAUCGGUAGGGCGUGCCUGAGGCAGGCACCGGAUGCAGAAUUCUAUCAUUUCUCUGGGAAUCUGUAGCAGCUGAUGAGACGUUAUCAGAUUCCUUAGAUAUGUCGUCCACAUAGAGCAAAUCCUCAAUCCGUGCUACAAUGUUGAACGCUAGACUCUCCAAGACCCUCGAGUAGCUCUCCAAGAUCGAUUUCCCAACAUCCUGUAAGGAUCGAAACAACAGAUACUGUGAAAGUUGAAUACAUUUGGAGUUACAAAUUAUGAUGAAGCACAGAUUUUGAACCUUGUUGCAUUGUAUUUUAGUGGUGUCUAAAGUAGUUUGUGUGAGACUCGGGACUCGAUGCCUCAAGGAGAGCAGAAGUUUCUCAGCUCUUUCAGCGAGCAAGUCCCUCUUGUCUCCAUAUGUCAUGAGAUCUUUAACAAUCUCCCAAGACGAUUUGGCUGCAGAAUGAUGCUGCGGAUGAGCCGGGGGCUUCGGUUGUUGCCUCCUGCGCCACAUAUGCAUCGCUGCUUCCACUCGGUUCGCUAUCUCCAGGGCUGCAUGAUCAGAGGACAGAUCGAGGCAAUCGAGCAAGCACUCUGGGAAGAAUUGCUCCGAAGUGAUGUACCGGUAGAUGAGAUCCCCGAGACAGCUUCUUCCGUGCUGAAAUUCCAAAACCAAAGUACACAUACUGUCAAAACACAUUGGCAAUGCGAUUGAAAGGCUACAUUGGGCGACAUCGAACCUUUGGAAGAGUUUCCAGCCUCGGACAGGCCGCCAGGAGGCACCCGGGGCACCGGCAACCACCACUUAUCGUCGCGGCGGCGCUGCCCUUCAGGCGCCACGAUACCUUGAUCUACGUACCAGAAUUCUGAAUCGCAUGUUGUCGAGUUUCCUGAGAGCUGGAAGAUUGAUAACAAGAUCUGAUCUUGGCCUGCAAGUCAUGACCUGAUCGAAGAAAAAACAAAACUACUGCAAUCAUCAUCCACAGAUGAAGAAGAACUUGCGAAAUGUUCUAGAAGGUGGAUCGGAAAUUACAUCGAUUCUUUUGCCGUCGGAUAAUGUCUGCAAAGAAGGUUUGAAUUCAACAAUAUGGUCGCAAACUGAAAGCAGCCAGUUCAUUUCCCUUCUCCACAUCGAUUUCUUUGGCAGUGGCAAUGGCUCCAGCCUCCAUAGCUGCCCGAACACAGUGGCUGCGUAUUUUGAAUUCAUGUCAAUUAUUCACACCAGAUCGAUUUGAGGUAAGAAACAUAUAUUAAUGUGUUCUCUGUUUACCACAGAGAUUGGUGAUGGCGUUGGAGAUGGUGAGAGCUGGACAAACUCCUUUCCCACUUCCAGACAUGUCUUCUCCAAGCAGCAGCUUUGCAAAUCUCUCCUUCAUCAUUUCCAUCUCUGUGACUGCUGUGAAUUGGAUUUCACUUCAUUUUUUAUAGAAUUGGAUGCCAUGGCGAUGGGCCAACCGAAGCCGGAAGCACCAUCGGAGGUGGAUCUGCUGUCAGAACUCGUGCUGGACUCAGUUGACUCUGACGACUCUCCAUCUUCUUUCUUCUUACUCCCCAUUUUCAACCAUGGAAAGAAUUAGGGCUAAAGAUGAGAUCUUUUUUUGCAGGUCCAAGAAUGGAGAUUUUGAAGGGAUUGUCUGUUCUAAUGGUGAUUUGACACACACACAGAUACACUCACAGUGUUUGCUGAUGAUGUUGUUGUUCUUUGUCAGUGACGAGCACGGAUGCAGGGAGGAAGAAGAAGAUUUUGAUUUUUCAAAGGGCCGUGGGGGGGACGAUGAUUGCAGGAGCAGAAUCACAUUCACAUAUCCCGCUUGCGAAAUUACGCUUCUGCCCCCAUCCAGGUUUGAACCAUUUUUUUUGUUUUUUUUGGCUCUGUGUGCAAUCAAGGUCUUUAAUUUAACUACGUACAGCGUGGCCAUGAUUGUGUUUGUUUUUUGUUUUUGUGCUAUUUGAAAUAUUUAAAAAAUAAUAGUAAUUAAAAAUUGACAUAAUAUUUUUUUAUUUGUUACGAUUUAUGGAAUAAAUUCUAUUUUUAUUAAAACACAAUUAGGGUACUAUAUU